rnacentral:rRNA from 1 species
UACGGAGGGGACUAGCGUUGUUCGGAAUUACUGGGCGUAAAGCGCACGUAGGCGGAUUUGUAAGUCAGGGGUGAAAUCCCGGGGCUCAACCCCGGAACUGCCUUUGAUACUGCGAAUCUCGAGUCCGGAAGAGGUGAGUGGAAUUCCUAGUGUAGAGGUGAAAUCCGUAGAUAUGUAAAGGAAUGCCAAUAGCGAAGGCAACUUUUUAGCAUAAACUGACGUUGAGGGACGAAAGUGUGGGUAGCAAACAGG